rnacentral:miRNA from 1 species
GUAAGUUCGCGCAAAGACAAGU